GACGAACGCUGGCGGCGUGCCUAAUACAUGCAAGUUGAGCGCUGAAGGUUGGUACUUGUACCAACUGGAUGAGCAGCGAACGGGUGAGUAACGCGUGGGGAAUCUGCCUUUGAGCGGGGGACAACAUUUGGAAACGAAUGCUAAUACCGCAUAAAAACUUUAAACACAAGUUUUAAGUUUGAAAGAUGCAAUUGCAUCACUCAAAGAUGAUCCCGCGUUGUAUUAGCUAGUUGGUGAGGUAAAGGCUCACCAAGGCGAUGAUACAUAGCCGACCUGAGAGGGUGAUCGGCCACAGUGGGACUGAGACACGGCCCAAACUCCUACGGGAGGCAGCAGUAGGGAAUCUUCGGCAAGGGACGAAAGUCUGACCGAGCAACGCCGCGGGAGGGAAGAAGGUUGUCGGAUCGUAAAACUCGGUUGGUAGAGAAGAACGUUGGUGAGAGUGGAAAGCUCAUCAAGUGACGGUAACUACCCAGAAAGGGACGGCUAACUACGUG
rnacentral:rRNA from 1 species